AUGGGUCAGAUGCCAUUUUUUAUUUUCAACGUUUCUUGGUUUGUUUAGAUCAUAUACAGGUCGUAAAGGUGAGCUGUUCAAGCAUCAAAUGGCAUGCUAAUUUGCCUUCCCCGGGGACGGCACACAAGUCGUCAAAUACUAUAACUUAUGCUUUUUUACUUAAAUUAACCUCCAAUUGAGCUUCAUUUGUCAGAGGUACAGUCCACUUGUUGUUAAACUACCUUAUGGAUUGAUAGACACAGCUAUAUGUUUAGUGAAUUUGAAGGAUCGAGUUUACAGGUGUACAUUGCAUGUGGUUAGCAAAUUUAAUUAAGUUGAGACUUGCAGAAGUCUUCAUAUUCUUCCUUUUCUUGUUUGUGUUACCAACACCGGCUGUUAGCAAGUCGCUGGUCCCUAUUUCCGGUAUAACGAAAUAGUAUUAUGCAAUGCAAAUACAAUACAGUACUGGCUGGACCAUCGAUCUGCCGGUAUCUACGGCUAGCAAGUCGCUGAAAGAACGUGCACACGGAAGAGGGCAUUACUGUGGCCGAGCUUCAAACUAGAAAGAAAGGGAAUUGCCUCCUCAGAAGCAUUCACUCAAAAAUCACAAUACAUUCUCGCCGUGCCCUCGAUCCGCACCACGCUCUCGCCUCCGCCACCACCGCUGCCUCCAGCCUCGAUCUGCACUCUCAUCGGUCAGACAUGGCUAAUGGUCGAUGGACUUUACAUUACUUGAUUUCACAUCUGUGGUGAAGCCAACUGUUAAGUUGUGCAUAAAAAAUAGCCUUUUAAUUUGUGUUUUGCAAAGCUUUUAUGCACACCAAAUGUGGCUUGUUUUGCUCUUCUUUUCUUUAAUCUGUUUGUCACAUUUGGGAAGCAUUUCAAAUAUAUCACAGCUGUGAGAUACUACAUAUACCCUGCUUAUCCAUGUAUAAUUAUUGUUUUCUUGUCAUGGUCGAUGGACUUUACAUUACUUGAUUCACAUCUGUGAAGCCAACUGUUAAGUUGUGCAUAAAAAUUAGCCUUUUAA